rnacentral:siRNA from 1 species
UCCGAACAUACUCAACUCAAUCC